AGCGAACGCUGGCGGCAGGCUUAACACAUGCAAGUCGAGCGGGCAUCCUUGUGGUGUCUGCGGCAGACGGGUGAGUCACGCGUGGGAAUGUGCCCUUCGGUUCGGAACUACUCAGGGAAGCUUGAGCUAAUACAGGAUUCGUGCGAGCGCAUAAAGGUUUAUCUGACGAAGUUUCGGCCAGCAUCUGAUUAGCUAGUUGGUGAGGUUAUGGCUCACCAAGGCGACGAUCAGUAGCUGGUCUGAGAGGCUGAUCAGCCACACUGGGACUGAGACACGGCACAGACUCCUGCGGUAGGCAGCAGUGGGGAAGAGUGGACAAGGGGGCAACCCUGAUCCAGCCAGGCCGCGUGAGUGAUGACGGCCUUAGGGUUGUAAAGCUCUUUUCUCCGGGACUAUAAUGACGGUACCUGAGGAAUAAGCCCCGGCUAACUUCGUG
rnacentral:rRNA from 1 species